CAGCCGCCGCGGGAAUACGUAGGUCCCGAGCGUUGUCCGGAUUUAUUGGGCGUAAAGCGAGCGCAGGCGGUUAGAUAAGUCUGAAGUUAAAGGCUGUGGCUUAACCAUAGUACGCUUUGGUAACUGUUUAACUUGAGUGCAAGAGGGGAGAGUGGAAUUCCAUGUGUAGCGGUGAAAUGCGUAGAUAUAUGGAGGAACACCGGUGGCGAAAGCGGCUCUCUGGCUUGUAACUGACGCUGAGGCUCGAGAGCGUGGGGAGCAAACAGGAUUAGAGACCCCUGUAGUCCCUGUCUCUUAUACA
rnacentral:rRNA from 1 species